GACGAACGCUGGCGGCGUGCUUAACACAUGCAAGUCGAACGCUGAAACCGGAGCUUGCUUCGGUGGAUGAGUGGCGAACGGGUGAGUAACACGUGAGCAACCUGCCCUUCACUCUGGGAUAAGCGCUGGAAACGGUGUCUAAUACUGGAUACGACCCAUCACCGCAUGGUGUGUGGGUGGAAAGAUUUAUCGGUGGGGGAUGGGCUCGCGGCCUAUCAGCUGGUUGGUGGGGUAAUGGCCUACCAAGGCGACGACGGGUAGCCGGCCUGAGAGGGUGACCGGCCACACUGGGACUGAGACACGGCCCAGACUCCUACGGGAGGCAGCAGUGGGGAAUAUUGCACAAUGGGCGCAAGCCUGAUGCAGCAACGCCGCGUGAGGGAUGACGGCCUUCGGGUUGUAAACCUCUUUUAGUAGGGAAGAAGCCGCAAGGUGACGGUACCUGCAGAAAAAGCACCGGCUAACUACGUG
rnacentral:rRNA from 1 species